ACAGGGGUGGAGAGCGCUGAGUCAGAAGAGAGCUAAAAUGGCGGAGGUUGGGAGUCCCUGCUUUGACCCUGUUUGCAAACUCUUGUUUCAUUGUUUAAGCGAUUAAAUCUCUCGAGUAGACGCUGUCUCUUUAGAUGCAAGGGCAAAAUAGCACUUUAUGGACUAACACAGAGGACAUCAUGUUUAAUACGGUUCCGGAAAAAUCCAGUCAGAAGUUGUUCACGGAGUUUUCACAAUAACUGCUUCUCAUGAACCAAAGCUGCGCGACGUCUCCUCCUGAAAGUUGGAUUACCGUGCACUUCUGGAUCACAGGCUAUUCGCAGCUGGACACAUCCUUCUACACUGUAUGCAAACAUGCAACAUCAUUACACACAGUACAAGGCAUAUGAGGAGCAAAGGAACCCAGGCAGUAGCAUCGUUUCACAAUGUUUCAAUCACCAUCAUCAGUGGAUGCCUUUGCCGUCCCUAGCCUGAGAUUUCAGAUUUGCAGCAAAAAAUGUGACUUUCCCAUUUAUUGGAAUGCUGUGCAGGUAUUUAGGUAUUUU